rnacentral:rRNA from 1 species
UACGUAGGGCGCAAGCGUUAUCCGGAAUUAUUGGGCGUAAAGAGCUCGUAGGCGGUUUGUCGCGUCUGCCGUGAAAGUCCGGGGCUCAACUCCGGAUCUGCGGUGGGUACGGGCAGACUAGAGUGAUGUAGGGGGAGACUGGAAUUCCUGGUGUAGCGGUGAAAUGCGCAGAUAUCAGGAGGAACACCGGUGGCGAAGGCGGAUCUCUGGGCCGUAACUGACGCUGAGGAGCGAAAGUGUGGGGAGCGAACAGG